UACGGAGGGUGCAAGCGUUGUCCGGAUUUAUUGGGUUUAAAGGGUGCGUAGGCGGCCCUGUAAGUCCGUGGUGAAAUCCAACAGCUCAACUGUUGAACUGCCAUGGAUACUGCAGGGCUUGAGUACAGACGAGGUAGGCGGAAUGGAUAGUGUAGCGGUGAAAUGCAUAGAUACUAUCCAGAACACCGAUUGCGUAGGCAGCUUACUAGGCUGUAACUGACGCUGAGGCACGAAAGCGUGGGGAGCGAACAGG
rnacentral:rRNA from 2 species